rnacentral:rRNA from 1 species
UACGUAGGGGGCAAGCGUUGUUCGGAAUUACUGGGCGUAAAGGGCUCGUAGGCGGCCAACUAAGUCAGACGUGAAAUCCCUCGGCUUAACCGGGGAACUGCGUCCGAUACUGGAUGGCUAGAGUUCGGGAGAGGGAUGCGGAAUUCCAGGUGUAGCGGUGAAAUGCGUAGAUAUCUGGAGGAACACCGGUGGCGAAGGCGGCAUCCUGGACCGACACUGACGCUGAGGAGCGAAAGCCAGGGGAGCAAACGGG